rnacentral:sRNA from 1 species
GGCUGGAAUGCAGUGGCGCGAUCUUGGCUCACUGCACCCUCUACCUCCCAGGUUCAAGUGAUUCUGCUGCCUCAGCCUCCCAAGUAGCUGGGAUUACAGCCGCUAUGUGAAACAGCCUUUACCGGAUGAGUUUGGCAGCUCACCCUUGGAGCCAGGGGCCUGCAAUGGCUCCAGGAACAGCUGUGAAGGAGAAGAUGAGGAAGAAAUGGAGCAUCAGGAAGAAGGCAAAGAGCAGCUUUCAGAAACAGAAGGCAGUGGGGAAGAUGAGCCAGGAAAUGACCCCAGUGAGACCACCCAAAAGAUCAAAGGCCAGCCCUGCCCAAAAAGGCUUUUUACCUUCAGUCUUGUGAACUCCUAUGGAACAGCUGACAUAAAUUCACUUGCAGCUGAUGGAAAACUACUUAAACUCAACUCUCGAUCUACACUGGCCAUGGAUUGGGACAGUGAAACUCGGAGACUUUACUAUGAUGAGCAAGAAUCUGAGGCCUACGAGAAGCAUGUGAGCAUGUUGCAGCCUCAGAAGAAGAAGAAGA